UGGGGAAUAUUGCGCAAUGGGCGAAAGCCUGACGCAGCAACGCCGCGUGAGGGAUGACGGCCUUCGGGUUGUAAACCUCUUUCAGCAGGGACGAAGCGAAAGUGACUGUACCUGCAGAAGAAGCGCCGGCUAACUACGUGCCAGCAGCCGCGGUAAUACGUAGGGCGCAAGCGUUGUCCGGAUUUAUUGGGCGUAAAGAGCUCGUAGGCGGUCUGUCGCGUCGGAUGUGAAAACCCGGAGCUCAACUCCGGGCCUGCAUUCGAUACGGGCAGACUUGAGUACUGCAGGGGAGACUGGAAUUCCUGGUGUAGCGGUGGAAUGCGCAGAUAUCAGGAGGAACACCGGUGGCGAAGGCGGGUCUCUGGGCAGAAACUGACGCUGAGGAGCGAAAGCGUGGGGAGCGAACA
rnacentral:rRNA from 1 species